UACGUAGGCACCAAGCGUUGUCCGGAAUUAUUGGGCGUAAAGAGCUCGUAGGCGGUCUGUUGCGUCGGCUGUGAAAACCCGGGGCUCAACUCCGGGCCUGCAGCCGAUACGGGCAGACUAGAGUUCGGCAGGGGAGACUGGAAUUCCUGGUGUAGCGGUGAAAUGCGCAGAUAUCAGGAGGAACACCGAUGGCGAAGGCAGGUCUCUGGGCCACUACUGACGCUGAGAAGCGAAAGCAUGGGGAGCGAACAGG
rnacentral:rRNA from 1 species